GAUGAAGAACGCAGCGAAAUGCGAUAAGUAAUGUGAAUUGCAGAAUUCAGUGAAUCAUCGAAUCUUUGAACGCACAUUGCGCCCAUUAGUAUUCUAGUGGGCAUGCCUGUUCGAGCGUCAUUAAGUCCACUUAAGCCCUGCUUAGUGUUGGGAGACUGCUCCAGCGGUGCUACCCUGUAGCUACCCUGCAGCUCCUCAAAGAUAGCGGCGGAGUUGUGGUAUCCUCUGAGCUUAGUAACUUGUUCUAGCUUUCGAGUACACCACUUCCCCUGCCGUAAAACCCUUAAUUUUUAAUGGUUGACCUCGGAUCAGGUAGGAAUACCCGCUGAACUUAAGCAUAUCAAUAAGCGGAGGA
rnacentral:misc_RNA from 1 species